UGCUGCUGGAAACAAUUCUCUUGCAAACACAAAAUUUCGAGACUGCUUAACUACCAGGGGAAGUGUUUGGGGGAGAAAAACAUCCUCGUUGGAGAAAUUAUGGAAUUUUUAGCAGAUUUACUGAUUAUCCAUUAAGAGAGAGUGAAAGACUCCAAAGGAAGAAAGCAAUUGAAUAUUAUAAACAAGUGAUAAAAAUAAAGGGAAAUGCAAGCCCUCUGGCCAACUCUUCACACGUCAGGAAGCAGCUGAGCAUCAACCUACAUGAUGCCUAUUGUAAGUUAGGCAGAGCACCAUGCUCAACCAAAUUUCUCUCUUGUCAGUGCGUUCUAUCUUUCUUCAAAUUCUGUUUAAGACACUUUGUAUAGGAAUAGGCUUUUCACGAAUAACCAUGACACUAAGUAACACGUGACCUGAAGUAACAAAUGGCUCUUCACAUGGGUCCACCUUGGAUUUUACUUAUGGAAUGUAGGACUUAGUGCCUCAGACCCGGCCCAGCGAUCCGAAGGUACUUUCUGAUUAAAGAUAAAAACUUAAAGACUUAAAAAUGAAAUUGAA